rnacentral:piRNA from 1 species
UGACUUGGGUGAUGAGAACAUGGGAUC